AGAGUGAACGCUGGCGGCAGGCCUAACACAUGCAAGUCGAACGGCAGCACGAGAGAGCUUGCUCUCUUGGUGGCGAGUGGCGGACGGGUGAGGAAUACGUCGGAAUCUGCCUUUUUGUGGGGGAUAACGUAGGGAAACUUACGCUAAUACCGCAUACGACCUACGGGUGAAAGCGGAGGACCUUCGGGCUUCGCGCAGAAAGAUGAGCCGACGUCGGAUUAGCUAGUUGGAGGGGUAAUGGCCCACCAAGGCGACGAUCCGUAGCUGGUCUGAGAGGAUGAUCAGCCACACUGGGACUGAGACACGGCCCAGACUCCUACGG
rnacentral:rRNA from 1 species